rnacentral:rRNA from 1 species
AGCAGCCGCGGUAAUUCCAGCUCCAAUAGCGUAUAUUAAAGUUGUUGCAGUUAAAAAGCUCGUAGUUGAAUUUCGGGACCAAUUUGUUGGUCGUGCCUCGGUACGUACUGAUAUUAUUGGUUUCUCCCUUCUGAAGAACCUUGAUGCCAUUAAUUUGGUGUCUUGGGGAAUCAGGACUGUUACUUUGAAAAAAUUAGAGUGUUUAAAGCAGGCAUACGCUUGAAUACAUUAGCAUGGAAUAAUGAAAUAGGACGUUUUGAUUCUAUUUUGUUGGUUUCUAGGAUCGACGUAAUGAUUAAUAGGGAUAGUUGGGGGCAUUAGUAUUCAAUUGUCAGAGGUGAAAUUCUUGGAUUUAUUGAAGACUAACUACUGCGAAAGCAUUUGCCAAGGAUGUUUUCAUUAAUCAAGAACGAAAGUUAGGGGAUCGAAGACGAUCAGAUACCGUCGUAGUCUUAACCAUAAACUAUGCCGACUAGGGAUCGGAUGAUGUUAAUUUUUUAAUGACUCAUUCGGCGCCUUACGGGAACCUAAAG